AGAGUUUGAUCCUGGCUCAGGACGAACGCUGGCGGCGCGCCUAACACAUGCAAGUCGAACGAGCGAGAGAGAGCUUGCUUUCUCGAGCGAGUGGCGAACGGGUGAGUAACGCGUGAGGAACCUGCCUCAAAGAGGGGGACAACAGUUGGAAACGACUGCUAAUACCGCAUAAGCCCACGGGUCGGCAUCGACCAGAGGGAAAAGGAGCAAUCCGCUUUGAGAUGGCCUCGCGUCCGAUUAGCUAGUUGGUGAGGUAACGGCCCACCAAGGCGACGAUCGGUAGCCGGACUGAGAGGUUGAACGGCCACAUUGGGACUGAGACACGGCCCAGACUCCUACGGGAGGCAGCAGUGGGGAAUAUUGCACAAUGGGGGAAACCCUGAUGCAGCGACGCCGCGUGGAGGAAGAAGGUCUUCGGAUUGUAAACUCCUGUUGUUGGGGAAGAUAAUGACGGUACCCAACAAGGAAGUGACGGCUAACUACGUGCCAGCAGCCGCGGUAAAACGUAGGUCACAAGCGUUGUCCGGAAUUACUGGGUGUAAAGGGAGCGCAGGCGGGAAGACAAGUUGGAAGUGAAAUCUAUGGGCUCAACCCAUAAACUGCUUUCAAAACUGUUUUUCUUGAGUAGUGCAGAGGUAGGCGGAAUUCCCGGUGUAGCGGUGGAAUGCGUAGAUAUCGGGAGGAACACCAGUGGCGAAGGCGGCCUACUGGGCACCAACUGACGCUGAGGCUCGAAAGUGUGGGUAGCAAACAGGAUUAGAUACCCUGGUAGUCCACACCGUAAACGAUGAUUACUAGGUGUUGGAGGAUUGACCCCUUCAGUGCCGCAGUUAACACAAUAAGUAAUCCACCUGGGGAGUACGACCGCAAGGUUGAAACUCAAAGGAAUUGACGGGGGCCCGCACAAGCAGUGGAGUAUGUGGUUUAAUUCGACGCAACGCGAAGAACCUUACCAAGUCUUGACAUCCCUUGACAGGCAUAGAAAUAUGUUUUCUCUUCGGAGCAAGGAGACAGGUGGUGCAUGGUUGUCGUCAGCUCGUGUCGUGAGAUGUUGGGUUAAGUCCCGCAACGAGCGCAACCCUUACCAUUAGUUGCUACGCAAGAGCACUCUAAUGGGACUGCCGUUGACAAAACGGAGGAAGGUGGGGAUGACGUCAAAUCAUCAUGCCCUUUAUGACUUGGGCUACACACGUACUACAAUGGCGUUAAACAAAGAGAAGCGAGACCGCGAGGUGGAGCAAAACUCAGAAACAACGUCCCAGUUCGGACUGCAGGCUGCAACUCGCCUGCACGAAGUCGGAAUUGCUAGUAAUCGUGGAUCAGCAUGCCACGGUGAAUACGUUCCCGGGCCUUGCACACACCGCCCGUCA
rnacentral:rRNA from 1 species